rnacentral:rRNA from 1 species
UACCGCAUAAUGUCUUCGGACCAAAGAGGGGGAUCUUCGGACCUCUCGCGUCAAGAUUAGCCCAGGUGAGAUUAGCUAGUUGGUGGGGUAAGAGCUCACCAAGGCGACGAUCUCUAGCUGGUCUGAGAGGAUGAUCAGCCACACUGGAACUGAGACACGGUCCAGACUCCUACGGGAGGCAGCAGUGGGGAAUAUUGCACAAUGGGCGAAAGCCUGAUGCAGCCAUGCCGCGUGUAUGAAGAAGGCCUUCGGGUUGUAAAGUACUUUCAGUCGUGAGGAAGGGUGUGUAGUUAAUAGCUGCACAUCUUGACGUUAGCGACAGAAGAAGCACCGGCUAACUCCGUGCCAGCAGCCGCGGUAAUACGGAGGGUGCGAGCGUUAAUCGGAAUUACUGGGCGUAAAGCGCAUGCAGGUGGUUCAUUAAGUCAGAUGUGAAAGCCCGGGGCUCAACCUCGGAACCGCAUUUGAAACUGGUGAACUAGAGUGCUGUAGAGGGGGGUAGAAUUUCAGGUGUAGCGGUGAAAUGCGUAGAGAUCUGAAGGAAUACCAGUGGCGAAGGCGGCCCCCU